rnacentral:lncRNA from 1 species
UUUUUUAUCAGGAAAGGUGAGAAAAGACUGAUAAUGAAUUUUGAGGGAUAAGGGGUUUUUUAUUUCAUCAGAAUCGAGGGAAGGGAGGAAUAAGUAUGAUGAUGAUGAUCCCCUCUCCUUCUAAAUAUGCCCUCAUCCUGCCUCUUUGAAAAGAUUCAAUCAACUCAUCAACCAUCAAAUCUCUCUCUCUCUCAACUCCUUAUUAUGGAUUUACACCUCUUCUUCUUUCUUCUCUCUCUUAUUUACUAUAGUAGCCUAGCCUUUUCUCACAUCACAAUCUCAUAUGCAUCUUAAAUAGUUGUUGUAGUAGUAGUACCACCCAACUGCCCCAUCUUCAAUCUCUCUCUCCUCUCUUGAUCUCUCUAAUAAUACAAGUCAUACAUACCAGCAAGAAGCUAACCAGUAUUCUGUGUGUGUUUUGGUGAUGAGGUGGUGAAAAAAAUAUACACGGAAGAAAAGGAAAGGAAAUAAGGUCAUGGGGAGGUUUAACAAAGGGCUUCUUACCGAGUUUCUUGGCAUUCUGUCCACCUCCUCACCAAACUAUAUGUAUGUAUGUAUGUAUGUAUACACAAAAAAAAAACUGUGUUUGUGUUAUAUACUACGUAUUUGAUAUUUCAACCACAAUCUAUAUAUCUAUAUAUCUCAAUCUCAGUUUCAAUUUUAGUUUCAUGUAUAUAUAGAUGGAGGUGGGCAUACUGCCAACGGAGCUCUGUUGGUCUCUCUUUGCAAAACCCUUUCUCAUCCAUCCAUAUCAUCAAUAAUCUCGAUCGAUCGCUUAUAUAUAUAUAUAUAUAUAUAUAUAUAUAGAAUCAAUCAAUAAAUUCAUUCUAUAUUUAUUUAUACCCCCUAUAUAUAAUUAAAGUAACAAAUUAACAUCUAGCUAGCUAGGUAAGUAAGUGGCAUUUUGUAUGUGUUUUCCCUUUUGUUUGUAUAUAUACUUGAUCAUAACCCACCCUACACUAAUAUUUCCUGUAAGUUUCUUCUUUGAUCAAAAAUUAGAUACUCCUGCUUAAUAUUCAACCCCAUAGUUAGAGUGAGGAGCAUGUUGAUCGAUCCCGUGGGUAAACCCUAAUAUCUGCUCCAAGGCUACUCGUUAAUAAUUUAUUUUGCUGGCUAUAAUUAUUAUUUCUCUCUUUGUUUGAAACUACAAGGCUUUGCAUCUAAAUUCUAUUUAUGUUGGUUUGUUUUUCAUUUUCUAUUCCUUGUGCAGAGUUUCUUGAUAUAUAUAUAUUCUCUAUGCCCCAAGUAACAAGGGCAAAAAUGUACCGGCAAAAGAAUCCAUUCGUGAAUAGCUUUGAAUUUCGGUUUGCUUAAAUUCGCAGGGAUUUUGUUGAUGAAGUUGUGUCGUAUUGAUAUUGGUGGCUUCUUACCUACUAUUUUUGUUUUGAAAAUUAUAUAUACCACUCGUUUAUGAUAUAUGCAUAAUGCAUUGUAUUGUGGAGUGCAUAUCGUACAAUGUAGUUUAUGAUCGAGGAUCGAAAAUGUUACAGAUCUAGCUAGGAGCUCGCACUCCAAAUGGGCUGGCAGCUGCUGGCGUGCUUCACAACUUUUCAUUAUACUGGUGAUAUUUUACUGAUGAAUAUGGUAGUUAUUUUCUUUUAUGUCCCUUGACCUAAAAUGAACAUAAAUUUACGGAUCCCAAGUUAUUUUGUUGGUAAGUUGGUUAAUUGUCCAAUAAAAUAUUGACACAAACAAUUUCGUCUGGUGUUAAUAUUCUAUUAGUCAAUUGACAAACACAUUUUCGUCUGGUGUACAAUUAGGAUGAAAGUGUUGUUCAGCCAAACAUAAUGCAGCUGGUGAUUAUGUAUCAUAUAUAUCAUAUGCUUUCAUAUGUUAAAAGUAUAUGUAUUUUACAUACAGCCUUUUUGAGAGUUCAAUUUCGAAAUUAAGUCGUGUAUUUUAAAUAAUGACCAAUUUCUCAUAGAAUCAUUUUAGCUAAAUCAAAUAUUGGUAACAUACGAUAAUUAAUUUAAUUAUUGUUUAUCAAGUUCCCAAACAAAUUAUUGUGAUAUUUUUUACCUUUGCAAGGCUAAUCUUUUAUUCUUUUUCUCACUUUGGGAUGAAUAAAAUUGUUUUGUGGUAAUAAUAAUAAUAAUAAUUUUCUCAUUCAUAAUUGUCGAUUCUUGGUUUGUAAACUUUGGUCGUGGAUAAAGUUUUAUAAAAUAGAACUAAACUUCAUUCUACACAGGAGGUGAUCUUUUUCUCUUUUUCUCUGCGUGUUGUUAAUACUGUAUUUAUUAAUUAACUAACUUAUUAUGGUAACUGGAUUCUUUUUUAUGUUAAUAGAGUACUAGUUAUCUAUCUAUCACCUCACUCCGCUUGGUAUAAAUUGAUUUUAAGACGGAUGUUACUAAAGUUUCAACUUGAAAGCCAAUUGUAUAUAUUUGAGGGGUCUUUGUAUACUAAUUAGGGAUUCGAUUAAUAUGAAGUUCAUUUUUGGAUAAGUUGGUCAAUUGACCAAUAGAAUGCUGACACAUAAAACAUCGUCUACGAGUUAGUAAUCUAUUGGUCAAUUGAUUAACUUACUCAAAAAUAAACGUCAUACUAACCACUUCUCCUAAUUAGUAUUUUCAAAUAAGCCAUGUGAAGGCUAAACGCACCUGUCAUAAACUAACUGCAUCAUAAAUAGGAUGAUAUGUUUGGAAGUUUAGUAAUUGUUGUUAAAACUCAAUAAAUAGUGGUAGUAUGAAACAAAUUAAACAGACGGAGUGGGUUUUGAAAAUAAUACACUACUACUUACUACUCCAUCCCUCCCUUAAUAUAUCAUUAUUUUUAUCACCACAUUUAAUGUUGUUGUAUUUUCUUUGGUUAAAGUUUAUGAAUUUUAAUGGUCAGUACACGUCAAUUAAUGAAGUUGAGAGUUCCAGUGUGAUAAGUAAUGAAUAAUUAACUUAUUCAUCAAUUCUAUAUUAAGAGGUAUAUGUAGAAAAUUUAUGUUAAAAAUUGUCACUUAAAUGAUUUUCUUAAACUAUGUGCCAAAAGAAAUCAGUUUAUAACUAUGGGACGGAAGGAGUACUAUACGAUUAUUUAUUUAAUAUUUGUGCACAAUUCUAAAACAAUUUAUAUUAAGCCACGGAGAAAGUCUCUCAGUUCCAAUAGCCACUUUAUGUUUGCCGCUGAGCAACAGUUGAAACAACUAGAAAAUCCAACUUUGAUUGCACAAAAAUCCAGAACAUAAAGUGUUGGAAUGGAAUAUUUUAGAAUUCCAAUAGAAAAAAAUGGCAGCAGGGUGGAUCAUAUUAUUAGGAAAGCUGGCGUGUUCAUGAGGCCCUUUGUAAAUUUGUUGCCAGUAAAUACUAAGCUUUAUUUCAUUUUCCUCACGUGCAGGCAGCUGCAUUAUAAACUACACUCAUCACUCUUCUGCCAUUCAAAUGCUCUCCAAUGAGUAGGAGGAAGAAGAAAUAUUCAAAUUCCCAGUUCCCAGUUCCCAGUUCCCAUACAUCUCUCUCUCUCUCUCUCUCUCUCUCUCUCUCUCUCUCUCUCUCUCUUCUCCAAUGAGGAGUAUGAGUAGAAUUUUUAUUAUUCUCCCACGCUUCCUUUCUGUCAUAUUGUCCAUUUUUGUGUUGACACCAACUCCCUCAUUGCAUGCAAUAGAACUUGAAUCUUUACCCUUUUUAUUCAUUUCAAAAGAACAAAAAUAAGCACCUUAUGAUGAUCAGGCCACCUCCCCCUCCCCCUCCCCCUCUCCCUCCCCUCCCCCUUCCAAUGUAGAAAAAAUGCAUCAUGCUGUGGUCCAACUUUUCAAAUCAAUUUGACAGAAGGAUCUUAUAUUAAAAGUAUAGCAAACAUAUAUGAUACAAAA